AUUUAUAACUAUAAUCAUGUCCUGUCGUUUCAGUUUCACCGAUGAUAGAAGAGAACGAAUCUUGAACGUUGCCGAGUGUAUUCUCAACUUUGUUAUAAACUGCACGUUCGAAACUACAGUGUAUUGGCACACAAGUUCCAAAUCAAGUCGAGAAUUCACGCGAGUACAAGUCGAGUUCUAGUCUACAUAUUUCCAAUCGAAUCUUAUCGACACGAAAAUACAGUUUCGCUAAGAUUUACUCUGUCCAACGUAUGUACGUACGAAAGACCUCGCCGGCCUGAAAAAAGAAGAAAAAUGUCCGGAUUUAAUAGAGAGGAUGUCGAGGAUUGAGACGGUGAAAGAGGAUGCCAGGAAAUUGAAGACUACGACACUCACCAGAAUGGGGAAAAUGUUUAAGCAGCGCUCACAGACACCCGUUGGGGAGAAAUCAUCCCUAAACGUGGAUGGCGGUACGAGUGUGAGAAAAUCAAUGAAAAAUUACGACGACGAAAGCAUGAAAAAGGAUAGAGAGAAAAGUAACUCGUUGGGCAGAAUGCUAAAAUUGGUGGAUAAAGAUGGCUCGCCGAAGAAACUGUUCCAUUCUCGAGCAGGAUCUCUGAGUCAUAUAUUGCGUCGACAACCCAGCAAUGAAAACAAUGUCGAGAAAAAGCUAGCCGAAGAUAAUACACCUGGCAUUUUCUCGAGAAUGCUAAACCAGUUGAGAGGAAAGUAACAAAGACCAAAACGUUUAUUCACUUAUGAAUAAAGAUAUCAUACACGUAUAUUGUACACGAUAUACGUAUUCUUUUGAUAAAAGUGGUAAUCCAUUAUCGAUACACAUACAUAUAGUGCAUACCUUUGAUGCUUACAAGAACAAAAAUAGAGAAACAAUUAUACGACUAUCUUUAUUUAUUUUCACAAAUUGUACAUACAUGUGUGUAGACAGUCGUGUAAAUUCAAUUGAUGUUUAUAUUUGUGAUGCUCAGGACGCCCUCACAGUGGAAACUCGACAGUCGAGCCGAACAUAAAGACCCGUGGCAAAAUGAGCUCGUUACCUCCAAAGGUGCCAUUAAAUUCGAGGACCUGUAAUCUGUCUUCGUCAAAGUCUCCUUCAUCGCCUCCGUCGCGGGACAGAGAAUCCUUGGAGAAAUUAACAACUUUCGAAUAUUCCAUUUAACACGUUGUUAACAAGCAAGCUACCCUUUCACGAAAAGUAAUCUACGUUUACCGACACAUUAGCAAUUUUAAUCUAUCGUUUAUACCGUACGCGUACGGUGCCUACACUCUAUUUCUAUUGGCAGAAGAUUUGGUUUCCAUUCCAGAUACGUUACGCAAAGUAAGAAAAAUCGAUAUUGUGCAAAGGAAUACUCGGAAUUUAUAUGUGCGUAGAACAAUUGAAAACGAUAAAUAAAUAUCAUUUAUUCGAUCGCUGUGAAAAAUCAAUCGAUACUACGAAUAUAAACUACGAUUUUCCAAAAGUGGCUUUAACAUUUUGUUUAAAAUAUUUAAAAUUUAAAUUAAAUAUGUAAUAUUUAAAAUAUUUUGUAUAUUAAAAAUUAUAAUUCUGAUGCCAGUUUUGGACAACUCUUUAUUGGUGAUUAUUAAACUGGAAAUUUUGUACAUUCGUGAAUAAUGCUAAUAUGACAUUCAAUUUUUAUUGGAAGAACCAUCGUCAUUAUCCACGCAUAUUUCGUCUUGUUCCUUUUCCUAUUUUUUUGCGAGACAACCUGUGUCUCUUGGUGCUCUGCGCGCUGCGCUGUACAAUUGUUCGGAUACGUACAUGGGUACUAACAAAUUACGUAUUACAUAUUACAACAGAAGUUGUACAAAUGGUCGUAUGAAUCGUGACGAAUAUUAUUCACUGUUGGUUCCUUAAUUCGCAAAACCAUACCAACAGGCCGACAUGUAUAACAGUUGUCGUCGCAGUUUGUAUAAAAGUAAGUAUUUACAAAGAAAAUGCUAAUCUUGAACGGUAUACAUAAUUUCCUCGCGCACGCAAACCUCAUUGUCAGCAUUAGUGUUCGUCCCGAACAAUACAGAUUGAAACCGAGCGAACCUUCUCUAAGGAGAAAUCGGACAUUUUCCACCAUGCCACUUUGUCCAAAUAAAUUGAAAUUUAUAUUAUAAUUGUAUACC